rnacentral:rRNA from 1 species
UACGUAGGGUGCAAGCGUUGUCCGGAAUUAUUGGGCGUAAAGAGCUCGUAGGCGGUCUGUCGCGUCGGAUGUGAAAAUCCAUGGCUCAACCCUGGACCUGCAUUCGAUACGGGCAGACUAGAGUUCGGCAGGAGAGUGGAAUUCCUGGUGUAGCGGUGAAAUGCGCAGAUAUCAGGAAGAACACCAAUGGCGAAGGCAGCUCUCUGGGACGGUACUGACGCUGAGACGCGAAAGCGUGGGGAGCGAACAGG